GUUUAUCAAAAACAUUGUCUCCAGAUCCAAUAUUAGAGAUAGAUCUGCCCAGUGACGAAGAUUAACAAUUUAGAUAAACGGCCGCGGUAUUCCUGACCGUGCUAAGGUAGCACAAUAAUGAGCCCUCUAAUUAGGGGAUAGAAUGAACGAAUUAACGAGAAAUAAACUGUCUCUAUUAUAAACAUUGAAAUUUAUAUUUGGGUGAAAAAUCCCAAAUUCUCAACAAAGACAAAAAGACCCUACAAGCUUCUAUUUAGUAUAAUUCAAAUUACAAAAAUAUUCAAUUGGGGCGAUUCUAAGUUAAAAACACUUAUCACCUAAUAGGGCUAUCACCCACCAAUUUCAUCCGAUAGCAUAAAAGUAAGUUACUGUAGGGAUAACAGGCCAAUACUUCUUAAGAGCACAAAUCAACAGAAGUGUCUAGCACCUCGAUGUUGGCUUAGGGAUCCUUUUUCAUGCAGAAGUAAAAUAAGGGGGUUUGUUCAACCUUUAGAUCCCUACAUGAUCUGAG
rnacentral:rRNA from 1 species